rnacentral:piRNA from 1 species
GAUUGGAAACUCACCGAAGCACUUGGCAGC